AUUGAACGCUGGCGGCAGGCCUAACACAUGCAAGUCGAACGAGUGGCGGACGGGUGAGUAAUGUCUGGGAAACUGCCUGAUGGAGGGGGAUAAAUACUGGAAACGGUAGCUAAUACCGCAUACAAUCAGAUGUGCCCAGAUGGGAUGGGCUUGUUGGUGGGGUAACGGCUCACCAAGGCGACGAUCCCUAGCUGGUCGGAGAGGAUGACCGGCCACACGGGAACUGAGACACGCUCCAGCCUCCACCGGGAGGCAGCGUUGGGGAUCAUUGCACAAUGGGCGCAAGCCUGAUGCAGCCAUGCCGCGUGUAUGAAGAGGGCCUUCGGGUUGUAAAGUACUUUCAGCGGGGAGGCGUUACCCGCAGAAGAAGCACCGGCUAACUCCGUGCCAGCAGCCGCGGUAAUUC
rnacentral:rRNA from 1 species